UACAGAGGGUGCAAGCGUUGUUCGGAAUUAUUGGGCGUAAAGCGCGUGUAGGCGGCCCGGUAAGUCCGCUGUGAAAGUCGGGGGCUCAACCCUCGGAUGCCGGUGGAUACUGUCGGGCUCGAGUACGGAAGAGGCGAGUGGAAUUCCUGGUGUAGCGGUGAAAUGCGCAGAUAUCAGGAGGAACACCAAUUGCGAAGGCAGCUCGCUGGGACGUUACUGACGCUGAGAAGCGAAAGCAUGGGGAGCGAACAGG
rnacentral:rRNA from 1 species